UGAAUUUCCGAACUAGGUCAUUCCAAUGAUGCAGCUUGGUGGAUAUGAGUCCCACAGUUCUGUGGGAUUCCAAUAAUUGCAAAAAAAAAAAAAAAAAAAAUGUGAUAGAAGAGACAAAAAGUGUAGCACUAGGUCGUGCGAACUUCUUGAACAUGUUGUGCAUUCGUUGUUCCACAGGAAAAAAAUGUUAUUGAGUAUAAAUAUUAAAAAUUCAAUGUGCUACAAAUUUCAUAUGAGACGUAAUUUUAUAAUAGUUACCCGACUAUUUAAAAGGAUCUGAUCGAUUUCUGUCCAUGGAAACUAUAAUGAAUUUAUGGAAAUGUGUCUGAUUCAAAAAUUUCUGAUGAGACAAUUUUAUGUGUGUUACGUUACUAUUUAAACACAAUUUUAUCAGUUUCCGUCAUUGACAGCAAAAAUUAUAAUGAACAUUCAUUUAUUGUCCACCCAUUGCAUAAGACUCAUGAUCUUAUAAAUUGACUUUUGUUCACCCACUAUUCAAAAAUGCAAACACAGUUUCAUGAGUGUACAUUAUUAUUUAAAAAGAGCUUGGUUUGUUUUCAUAACUGCACUGGUAAUUAUAAUAACGCACAAUGCAUGGGACUGACUUAACUUUUGUAGAGAUAGUCGUUCAAAAAUUCUAACGAGAUUCAUUUUUAUGAGCGUUACAUGUCUAAUUAUUAAACGAUUGGUCAGUUUUCGUUAAUAAUAGUGCAAUGAUAUGAGCAGGCAUUUAUUGUCCCCUAAACGUUUUGUCCCAAAUUUUAUAAAUUGAUUUUUGUUUAUAUGGUGGUCAAAAUUUUUGAAUUUGCACAUUUUUAUUAUUUUAUAAAUUUGAUUUUAUUUCCUUUUACAUUUCUCUGUUAUUAUUCAUGUUUGAUGUAUGAGAUUUUCACGUUGUAAUUGAUUUUGG
rnacentral:lncRNA from 1 species